rnacentral:rRNA from 1 species
UGGGGGAAUUUUGGACAAUGGGGGAAACCCUGAUCCAGCCAUCCCGCGUGUGCGAUGAAGGCCUUCGGGUUGUAAAGCACUUUUGGCAGGAAAGAAACGUCGCGGGUUAAUACCCCGCNAAACUGACGGGUACCUGCAGAAUAAGCACCGGCUAACUACGUGCCAGCAGCCGCGGUAAUACGUAGGGUGCAAGCGUUAAUCGGAAUUACUGGGCGUAAAGCGUGCGCAGGCGGUUCGGAAAGAAAGAUGUGAAAUCCCAGAGCUUAACUUUGGAACUGCAUUUUUAACUACCGGGCUAGAGUGUGUCAGAGGGAGGUGGAAUUCCGCGUGUAGCAGUGAAAUGCGUAGAUAUGCGGAGGAACACCGAUGGCGAAGGCAGCCUCCUGGGAUAACACUGACGCUCAUGCACGAAAGCGUGGGGAGCAAACAGGAUUAGAUACCCUGGUAGUCCACGCCCUAAACGAUGUCAACUAGCUAGUUGGGGCCUUGCGGGCCUUGGUAGCGCAGCUAACGCGUGAAGUUGACCGCCUGGGGAGUACGGUUGCAAGAUUAAAAAGCUCAAAAUGAAUUGACGGGGGUCAUAGCUUCUUUCG